AUUAGCUCAACUGGAUAGAGCGUUUGACUACGGAUCAAAAGGUUGUGGGUUCGAUUCCUGCAUG
rnacentral:tRNA from 2 species